GAACCGGUGGCCUACCUAGUGGCUAGAGCGUCCGCCUCGAAUGCGGGAGGUCGUCGGUUCGAUCCCCGGUGGAGUCA